ensembl:lncRNA
CAGGUUUUUUGAACAUGUUUGAAAAAUCGCAUUUUUUUUCGACAUAGUAUAGUAAGGCGUUUUUUUUGCGCCAAAAUUCAUGAUGAUUUUUUAUUCAAAGAAAACCUUUCUGGAGUGUUUUUCACGCCGUCCUUUGCAUUAUUUCAUCAUAUGGCAGGUUUUUACAACAUGUUCGAAAAAUCGCAUUUUUUUUCGACAUAGUAUAGUAAGGCGUUUUUUUGGCGCCAAAAUUCAUGAUGAUUUUUUUUUCAAAGAAAACCUUUCUGGAGUGUUUUUCACGCCCUCCUUUACAUUAUUUCAUCAUAUGGCAGGUUUUUACAACAUGUUCGAAUAAUCGCAUUUUUUUUCGACA